rnacentral:lncRNA from 1 species
UGAUACCUCAAGAUACAAUAUAGUGAAACAACAAAUGAUGUACAGUAUUGCUAGGACAAAACAGCAACACAGCCAUGUCACCUGUAAAAGAAAGCAUUGUAAGGAGUUUAAGGAACAGUGAGGCACAACUCAACACCAUCUGAUGACUCGUGUUAGGGCUGAAUCCAUUUCUAACAGUCCUCUUAGAAGGAACCUCUGAAGCCUCCGUUCCUUUUACAGAAGUGUUCAGACCAGUUGUUGGCUUAACAUGAGUCUAAAUGAAGUACAAUCGAAUGUCCAAAAAGUUUAACAAUCUGUCAGCUUCUUCCACUCAUCUCCAUUAGCAAAGAAUGGAGAUGUCAGAAGAUUGGUCUGUGACUCUCGGGGUGCUGCUAUUGCCAUCUGACUGCUGAGAUGAGCGUGCAGAAAAAGCUCUGUACAAGCACUACCCAGAGGAAGCAUUGCGUGCACCAGAGAUGGGACACAGCACUAAGGAACUCCUGCCCUCCUGGUACCCCGUGCAUUAGGACUACACAGUUACAUGGAACCAGCCAUAGAACUCUACCAGUGCACAAGUCCCUCUUACUGGCAAAGGUACAGUACCAAUUUUUUUUAAUACACCAACUAACUUUUUCCCAAAAUAGAAGAUGUAU